GCUGUGGAACUCCUACGGGAGGCAGCAGUGGGGAAUAUUGGACAAUGGGCGAAAGCCUGAUCCAGCCAUGCCGCGUGAGUGAUGAAGGCCCUAGGGUUGUAAAGCUCUUUCACCGGUGAAGAUAAUGACGGUAACCGGAGAGGAAGCCCCGGCUAACUUCGUGCCAGCAGCCGCGGUAAUACGAAGGGGGCUAGCGUUGUUCGGAAUUACUGGGCGUAAAGCGCACGUAGGCGGAUUGUUAAGUGAGGGGUGAAAUCCCAGGGCUCAACCCUGGAACUGCCUCUCAUACUGGCAAUCUCGAGUUCGGGAGAGGUAAGUGGAAUUCCGAGUGUAGAGGUGAAAUUCGUAGAUAUUCGGAGGAACACCAGUGGCGAAGGCGACUUACUGGCUCGAUACUGACGCUGAGGUGCGAAAGCGUGGGGAGCAAACAGGAUUAGAAACCCUUGUAGUCCUACCACGU
rnacentral:rRNA from 1 species